GGGCGGAUGGCGGAAUUGGCAGACGCGUUGGCCUUAGGAGCCAAUGGGGUGACCCUUGGAGGUUCAAAUCCUCUUCCGCCCA
rnacentral:tRNA from 1 species